rnacentral:tRNA from 1 species
ACUUGGAUAGCUCAGUGGGUAGAGCGUCAGACUCAUCAUCUGAUUGUCGCGGGUUCGACUCCCGCUCCAGACA